rnacentral:lncRNA from 1 species
CCAAGGGUUUAGAGUUUAUCCAAGGGUUUAGGGUUUACCCAAGGGUUUAGGUUUACCAAAGGGUUUAGGAUUUAGGAUUUAGGGUUUAGGGAUUAGGAUUUAGGGUUUAGGGAUUAAGAUUUAGGGUUUAUUAUUUUGCUGACGACGUUAAAAAUAUUUUUUUAAUUCUUUUUUCUGUAGCUGCUAUUUUUUUUUUACUUUUUUAUUUUAAAAACAUAAUAUAACUUGAUAAUAUUUUGUUUUCUUUUUUAAAAGAUAUCGAAUUUGAAAUAAUGAAAUCCUAUUGGCUGGUGAAUCUAGAGGUUUACCCUGGAGGGUGAACCUAAGAAUAACUCUUUGCCUAUUGAAGCAAGUGGUUUUCCAAUAUUCUCACGUGACUGCAAUU